AGCCUUACCUGCAGAGGAGAUACCAUGAUCAAGAAGGUGGUUUUCCCAGGACAGGGCACAUCCAUUGUACUCCAGAUGUCCUGAUCCCUGCAAUUCCCUCAAAUGGGGGAAGUGGGCUGAAUAAUUUGUGGUAGUGGGAGACUGCAUUCAUGCUGUCUCCGG